rnacentral:rRNA from 1 species
GACAGAGGGUGCGAACGUUGUUCGGAAUUACUGGGCGUAAAGCGCAUGUAGGCGGCAGCGCAAGUCGGGCGUGAAAUCCCACGGCUCAACCGUGGAAGUGCACUCGAAACUGCGCAGCUAGAGUCCUGGAGAGGAAGGUGGAAUGCUUGGUGUAGAGGUGAAAUUCGUAGAUAUCGAGCGGAACACCGGUGGCGAAGGCGGCCUUCUGGACAGUGACUGACGCUGAGAUGCGAAAGCGUGGGGAGCAAACAGG